GAUGAACGCUGGCGGCGUGCCUAAUACAUGCAAGUAGAACGCUGAAGGAGGAGCUUGCUCUUCUGGAUGAGUUGCGAACGGGUGAGUAACGCGUAGGUAACCUGCCUGGUAGCGGGGGAUAACUAUUGGAAACGAUAGCUAAUACCGCAUGACAACAGUUAUUGCAUGAUAACUGUUUAAAAGGGGCAACUGCUCCACUACCAGAUGGACCUGCGUUGUAUUAGCUAGUUGGUGAGGUAACGGCUCACCAAGGCGACGAUACAUAGCCGACCUGAGAGGGGGAUCGGCCACACUGGGACUGAGACACGGCCCAGACUCCUACGGGAGGCAGCAGUAGGGAAUCUUCGGCAAUGGACGGAAGUCUGACCGAGCAACGCCGCGUGAGUGAAGAAGGUUUUCGGAUCGUAAAGCUCGGUUGUAAGAGAAGAACGAGUGUGAGAGUGGAAAGUUCACACUGUGACGGUAUCUUACCAGAAAGGGACGGCUAACUACGUG
rnacentral:rRNA from 1 species